rnacentral:lncRNA from 1 species
UGCGUGUACAAGCCCUCUCAGUGACUGGAUUAUUAUUCAAGAGGGAAGAACAUAAACUCUUCAAAGUCACAGAUUAGCGAGAGUAUAGACUAAGUGGCAGUGUGGAGAGGGAAUGAUGGUUACCACAAAAGUUGAUACCUGAGGUGAUUCCAAGGACAACAAUGUAAUGAUGUCCUUAGAUGAACAGGUGACCCUAAUUCUAUUGUCUGGAAUUAUGGUAUUAGGUAGAAGCCUUUGAUGAGAAAAUAAAGUGACUAUUUCUCAGCAGAAUUCCAUUUUGAGAACUAUCCCCAUCUUUAAGUGCUUUUUCUCUAGGAUCCUGUCAACUGUUAAUGAAUUAAACAUCAUGUAUAGAAGUGCUGGUUAUGUCCCCCCAUGCAGCAAGUCAGUCUCACAGGAAAAGAUUCUCCAUCUUCUUUGUACUUUCUGUUCAUAAUAUUCAAAAUUAAAUUUCCCUGGCCAAGUGUUAUAGAUAAUCCUUAUUCGUGAUUUUAGCACAGAUGUUCAUAAAUGUCACCUUAGUGUAUUUGCUUUCUUUGUUAAGCUGAAUUAAUGAAGCUUUCAUAUACAUAUCUAUAAAUACAUAAAAACACAUCAGCACCAUGUGAACCUCGAGGCUUUUAAAGAGAUAAGCAUAUUUCUCUCCUUCUGCACAUAAGAAAAGACAGUGUUAUCAUGUGUAUGUUACAGCUGCUUUCCAGCAUCCUUGUGGGUUUGUGAAAUGCACUGUGUGUAUUCCUGUGUAUGAGGCCCACUAAUGAGCUAACUCCUAUACUGCAGUUUGUCUGUGGAAUUUCCUCAGCUCAGCAAAUGCAUCUUCCAUUCAUCCAGCCCACAGAGCCGUUAUCAUUUGGUGUGAUUUAUGGUGACAGGAGGGAGGGAAAGAACCACUCUUCUUUAAAGUGCUGUCAAAUUAUUGUCACUUUUUUUUCUUUCCUGGUCCCAGUCGUUGUAUUUGAUAUUCAAAAGAAACCUUUAUUUUAGGGCAUUGGGCAUAGGAUUAGAUCAGUUCCAAGAGAUAAUGACCAUAUUUGCAGUUGUGAGCCUUUGUGAUUGCAGGGUGGUGCUUAUAGCCCAGAGGAGCCUCUCUCUGCAGUUCUGCAGAUGAAGCACACUAGGAGUGUUUGCUGUCUUUUCUACCUGACCGAGCUCAGCAUUCUGUACUGGGUGUGUGUGGAGUUGGGAGGGGGUUUCCAUUUUCCUAACUAGAGAGCACCAGAAUAGACCAGAUUUUUAUGGCUAGUGAGUGUGCUGGUGUUCAGGUUCAUCUCCCAUUUGUGAGAGGAGGUAACACACAUUGAUUCCUAGAAAGAAAAACUUGGUGUGUGUAAUAACCCAGGUAGUAAUAUAAGUGAAAAAGAUGUUUUCUUAUUGUUUCUCUCACUGGAAGGUCUUUUCAGGAUUCUGACUCUACCCCCUGCAAAUGGUGGCCAGUAAUUGCCUUGUCAUAUCAAUAACAGUAGUGACACUGGACACACCAGAAUUCCUUCAUGUAGUUUACUUCCACACUGUGAGCUAACUCCAUUAUAUGGCCAUUUUAUAAGAAUGUUAUACUUUUAAAAAUGUAUGUUUUUUUUGUGUAUUGGCAUAUACACCUCUAUAUAGGCACAUGUGUACAUAGGUGCACAGACCUCUGUGGUUGUACAUAUGAAAGCCCAAGGUUUGAAGGUGUCAUACUCCAUCACUAUCCACCUUGAUUUUUGAUAAAGGGUUCCAUAACAUACAAGGAGGCCACUGAUUCAGUUAGCAAACCCCUAUGACCACUGAUUCUCUUCCUCCUCACAGCUGCAAAUAUGUUCAGUGCUGUAUUUACAUGCAUGUGCCUCAUUGCCAGAACUAUGCAACAUAAAAAAAAAUAGGAAAUAUAGCUCUUCCCUC